rnacentral:piRNA from 1 species
UGAAGAGGAGACCCAGAGCUCAGGCU